AUCACUUGGCAUAAACGAAAGAUAAGAGGUAGGUAUUCGGAUGAUAAAACAUUUUCCACACGCUUACACGCUCAGCAGAACACAAUGGCACGGUGAAUCGGUAACGUCCGUACAGUAGUCGUGAGGAAGUAUAUAAGUCUCGUAAAUCGCGGGGAUCAUAUUAUUAUUUUAUUACUCGGCCGCUUCGUUCGGAUCGAGUUGGCGAGACCAUCGAUUUCCCAAACACCGGUAAACGGUAGUCGACACAAUUAGUCUCGAUAGUCCGACAUUCGGAUUCGAUCGACCAUUAGUGUUUUAUGAUAUUACCCAUCGUAAGCCGUACAUCAUAAGCGAUUUAAUGGCAUUAUAUGGUUACGCUCGCCCAAAACGAAGUGCAAAGUGCAACUUUUUACAAUGGUAGUCUGUCAAAUACAGACCGAUACCGUCCGUCCCUAUACCUACAGGGUAGUGUAAAACUCGCUGUUGUGUACAUAAAUAUUAACUUGUCACGGCGCGGUUUUUUCUCCAUGAAAUUCAAAAGCGUAAAAAUAUCGUUGCAUUUUUAAUUUUAAAUACCUACCUGGGUACCUAUUUUAUAUUUUUAUGCCCAUCGCGAUUGAAUAUUUGAAUAUAUUUUUAUUUUUUUCACAUCGCGAUACCACACCAAAUCGGUGUUCGGUAAUGAGACUAAAAAUGGUAAAUCGUUAUAUUUGCAACUCGUGAUUACGACUCGCCUUUGUAUAAUAAUAACUAUGUAGAACAAUUAAUUAACCGUACCGUCUGUGAUAUAAAAUGUCCGCGUAGUCGUGUAGAUAAUAUGCGUGUGAAUUAUUAUAAUUUAUAGAUAUAAUCUUUGUAUUCCGUAUAAUGUGUAUCCUACUCAGUACUCAAGAUAUUGAUAUGUGUAUUUUGUAAUAAAAUUGAACACCAGCUAUCCGAGCUUCGUUGACAUUAAUUGCACUUUCAAGCGAUAACAUUAUUUGAUCGAGAUAAAAAAUUUACUAAACUAUUAUAAAUCAAUGUAUUAAUUAUUUAUUAUUGAAUCAUGACUUCAAUGCAAAUGAUAUGCUUGGCGAGCGGAAUGACGGUGGGCCUAAGCUUUCUAUACUCUGUUAUACAAAAAGUUUGGAUUAUCCGUGGAUCGAUUUGAUGCAAGUCAUAAUGUUAUGAGUUGUCAGCUACUCUUGAAAUUUAUGGUCAUACGUAUUUUGGAAAUCAUAUUUCCAAAACUCAAGCCAAACAGAAGGCAUGUGAAAGUUUCUUGCACAAUAUGUUGGCAAUGGCAAAUAAAAUGAAUGAGCGAUCUGAUAAUUUAAAAGUGUUGAAUUGUUUAACUUUUAAUAUUAAAAAAAUAAAGAAUUUCCCAAGAUGGAAGUUGGAGAAAAUUAUACAAAAUCAAAACCUAAAGGAUCCCCUUAGGAGGAUUUCUCAUAAUCACAUUUUGCUUCAUUAGCUAUUGACAAUUUAAUAAAUCAAUGGGCAGUAAGGCCUGUUAUUAAUAGAGCUAAUUAUGUACAAAAAGAAUCAACUGUCAUCAAACUACAACCUAAGACUGAUGCGAUAAUCCAAAACAACGAAAAUCUUAUACAUAAUGUGCGAAUGUGUCGUCUAGUAUCUACCAAAAGCCCAAUAAUGGUUUUUAAUGAGUUGUUCAAGGAUGUACCAAUUCACUUAAAGGCUGUAUAACUCAUAAGUCAUAACCUUAUGACUUGCAUCGACUUGAUGCUGCUAGAAGUUAAAGCUACAGCUACUCUUGAAAUAAAUUAUUAUUUUAUUUUAUGCUGUUUGAAAUAAUAUUCUUAAUAAUAAUUAUUCUUAAAAAAAAUAUGUAAAUUUUGUAAAAUAUUGUUCGUAUAUAUUAUACCAAAUAUAUACGUGUAUGUAUAAUUAAUUUAAUAUAAUAUAUUUAAUAUUUAAUAUACAUUAAAUUAGAAAAAAAUAAAGACUCUCCCGAGAUGGAAGUUGGAGAAAAUGAUAUAAAAUCAAAAUCUAAUGGACCCCCUCAGGAAGA